GAGAUAUUUAAGUAGCAUGUUGUGUGCCAAGUUUGUGGAGAAUGGGCUGGGUCCUGCUGUUUGACUGGAGUCCCUAGUAAGAGGUCAAAGAAGGGUGGGAAACUGAAGCAACUUGAGAACAGAGAUGGGUGGGAGAGAAAACAGAAAAAAGAAAGAAGCAGUAUACAGAAGUCCAUCCUGCAGCCACUCAUCUCCCUGCUUCAACAAUGACCAAUAAAUGAGCUACAAAACUGUGCAGGACUCCUCCUACCAAGAAAUAUGUCUAAGCUUGGCUAGAAGUGUCUCG
ensembl:lncRNA